rnacentral:rRNA from 1 species
UUAGCAUAUCAAUAAGCGGAGGAAAAGAAACCUACAGGGAUUGCCCUAGUAACGGCGAGUGAAGCGGCAACAGCUCAAAUUUGAAAUCUGGCUUCGGCCCGAGUUGUAAUUUGCAGAGGAUGCUUUUGGUGCGGUGCCUUCCGAGUUCCCUGGAACGGGACGCCACAGAGGGUGAGAGCCCCGUAUGGUCGGACACCAAUCCUGUGUAAAGCUCCUUCGACGAGUCGAGUAGUUUGGGAAUGCUGCUCUAAAUGGGAGGUAAAUCUCUUCUAAAGCUAAAUACCGGCCAGAGACCGAUAGCGCACAAGUAGAGUGAUCGAAAGAUGAAAAGCACCUUGAAAAGGGGGUUAAACAGUACGUGAAAUUGUUGAAAGGGAAGCACUUGUGACCAGACUUGGGCCGGGCGGCUCAUCAGGGGUUCUCCCCUGUGCACUCCGCCCGGUACAGGCCAGCAUCGGUUCUUGCCGGGGGAUAAGAACGGAAGGAACGUGGCCCCCCUUCGGGGGGGUGUUAUAGCCUGCCGUACGAUACCCUGGCGGGGACCGAGGUUCGCGCUUCCGCAAGGAUGCUGGCGUAAUGGUUACUAGUGACCCGUCUUGAAACACGGACCAAGGAGUCGUCCAUUAGAGCGAGCGUUUGGGUGUCAAACCCGCACGCGUAAUGAAAGUGAAAUUAGGUGAGAGCUUCGGCGCAUCAUCGACCGAUCCUGAUGUUCUCGGAAGGAUUUGAGUAAGAGUUUUAACGGACGGACCCGAAAGACAGUGAACUAUGCUUGUAUAGGGUGAAGCCAGAGGAAACUCUGGUGGAGGCUCGCAGCGGUUCUGACGUGCAAAUCGAUCGUCAAAUAUGAGCAUGGGGGCGAAAGACUAAUCGAACUGUCUAGUA